UGCAUGCCCUCUGAUUGCCCGUCUUCUCCUGGAUGGCUUCCAGUUCUCUGACUGCCUGGGAGGGCAAGGUCGUGGUUCAAAGGAUUGUUUCUAAGACAGACGUCACAGGCCGAAACUACUUGUUGAACUGUCCUUGACAGAUUUCUCCUGGGGAAGGACUUCUCAUCACUGGCAAUCCGAGAUAAGGAGGACACAAAGGUUUAACACGUGGUCCUUCCUGAGAAGAGGCCUGGGGGCGAGUCCGCAACCUUAAAAGGGCCUGGAGCAUCGAUCUGACCAUGAGAUAGUACUGUGCUGAGUACUUCCCUCAGGAGGCCAGGACUCUCCACCCCCCAGGCGAUACUGAGGCCAAGCCUGGGAACAACCACCACCACAACAAACUUCAUGCACUUCUCUCUGAGCAUUUGUAGAUCCAAUCUUUCCCAAUUUUUCCGAACACCUUCCAGAGGAGUUUCCCAGCUCGAGAUCCCGACAGAAGGUCAAGAGCCUCCAUACCUGGUGUAUCAGAGGGGUGACCAGAAGGCGUCCCUACGUAUCAGCUCUUGCCGCCUCCCAGCGGCGCAUGGGAGAAGAAGUCAGCUGCCAAAGAAAGGGAGCAGGGGUCGACAACUGGAAGAAUUGUCGCCCCGAACAACUCCUCGUUCCCGUAUUUAUUGGGAAAGGGAAAACAAUCAUCAAAAGACAUCAAGAUGUAUUGCAUUGUUCAAAGAGCGUUCUCAAGAGAAGAGCGGAACUUGCUUAAAGCGUGUAGCGGGGGGUCAUCUAGGGCUGAGCGAGCACAAUCGAAGAAUCUGCUCAGAUCCGUGGCGGGUGAUCGUGGUCUCGGCGGAAGUGGAGAAGUACAGACGAAAGCAGGCGGCUGUCCGCCUUGAGCGGGCCAGGCGUUCCCGGCUGCUCGGCUCCGUGACGGACAUCAGCCGCCUCUCCAGAGAGACCUUUCAAUAUACAUUUUCUCAAGGCUCUAUUAUUUCCGGCCUAGCUCUGCAUAAUGCUUUUUCUCCAAUCAUCACGUUGUGGUGAGGGGCCGUCACCAGCUCUCCCCAUUUGGGAGCAAGGUAUCCCUUGAUUCGCCUUUCCCAAGGUUAGAGAAUGGCCUGACACCUUUGGUUGAAGAAGGAUUGGGCCCUCGGGAGUAGCCAUUCUGACCCACUGCUUCAGCCCCCACACACCCUUCCCUUCCCCUCUGGGUUCUUCUAGAUCCCUUAAAUCUUAGGAGUCCAGCGAGGUUGGCCAUUCAAGGUUUGUUAUUUAUAAAGGUGGUGGGUACAGGCAAACAACUGGGGCGAUUAUGGGGGGGCGGGUGCUGCUGAUGGAGGAGGUUUCCCCAGGCCGUGACCCCCAGGGCCAGUCUCCAUCCUUUUAUGGGUCUCAGGUGCCCAUGGGAACCAUAGGGCAGGUUCAGAGCUCUGGAUUGCCAGUCCUUACGUGCACCCCCCGGACAGAGAAAGUCCCUCGCCACCUCAUUCUCCGGAGCCUCCUUGGUUGGGCCCUCAUUACUUGGUUGUACCAAUCUGCUUGCACCCCCAACCCAUGGAAUCUAGUCCAUAAGAUGAAUUAUUUCCUCGCCUUACCCCAGGCAUCCUUUCUCCUGUAUGCCUGAUGUCCUAUCAGCGGAAUGGGUCCCGAUUGAAGGGUGUAAUCCUUGAGACCUGGUAGCACUACAGUUCCUGACUUUUGUUGCUGAAACAAGAAAGCUUCAAUAACAACGUAUUAAGGUUCCGCUGCUAUU